CCUACGGGAGGCAGCAGUGAGGAAUAUUGGUCAAUGGACGAGAGUCUGAACCAGCCAAGUCGCGUGAAGGAUGACUGCCCUAUGGGUUGUAAACUUCUUUUAUAUGGGACUAAAAUGUUCCCCGUUUGGGAUUCUGUAUGUACCAUAUGAAUAACGAUCGGCUAACUCCGUGCCCGCAGCGGCGGUACUACGGAGGAUCCGGGUGUUAUCCGGAUUUAUUGGGUUUAAAGGGAGCGUAGGUGGAUUGUUAAGUCAGUUGUGAAAGUUUGCGGCUAAACCGUAAAAUUGCAGUUGAUACUGGCAGUCUGGAGUACAGAAGAGGUGGGCGGAAUUCGUGGUGUAGCGGUGAAAUGCUUAGAUAUCACGAAGAACUCCGAUUGCGAAGGCAGCUCACUGGACUGCAACUGACACUGAGGCUCGAAAGUGUGGGUAUCAAACAGGAUUAGAUACCCUAGUAGUC
rnacentral:rRNA from 1 species